GCCUACGGGGGGCCGCAGUGGGGCCUCUUUCACAAUUUUUUAAACCCUGAUGCAGCAACGCCGCGUGAGUGAUGACGGCCUUCGGGUUGUAAAGCUCUGUCUUCAGGGACGAUAAUGACGGUACCUGAGGAGGAAGCCACGGCUAACUACGUGCCAGCAGCCGCGGUAAUACGUAGGUGGCGAGCGUUGUCCGGAUUUACUGGGCGUAAAGGGAGCGUAGGCGGACUUUUAAGUGAGAUGUGAAAUACUCGGGCUCAACUUGAGUGCUGCAUUUCAAACUGGAAGUCUAGAGUGCAGGAGAGGAG
rnacentral:rRNA from 1 species